rnacentral:misc_RNA from 1 species
GACCACAAGAUGGUGCCAAUUGAUUAUAAUAUACUUUUGUAUCUAUAUGACCUGGUAAACUCCAAUUAAUAUUUUGCCAAAACAUUUCAAUAUGGCAACAUCAGCAAUUUUUUUCCAGUGAAAAUAUAUUUUACAAAAGAUAUAUUUAUUAUAUUUCUCUUAAGCAACUUUGACUUUUUUUUGUUUUCUAUUUUACAUUUCAGUUGAUACCUAAAUCUACCAUCAAUUCCCAUUGAUGUAAGACCUAGGUGUCAAUUCACUGUCUGAUGAUGACUCGGAGAAGCUAUAACGGAUACCUAGACUAACUGGCGCAGCAUUUUGCCAAUUGCUGUAACCCGGAUUUGCAAGAUUGCUGGGUUGGUAUUGGUCCCCCAUCUCAAUGUAUCUAUGAUCAGAUGAAUACCCAAUUUGGUUAUAAAAUGUUUUUGCCCUGUGUUGAUUUGGGUACUCCUCCACUACCUCACCUUGUGUGAGCAAAGCAAUCUCACUUGAAACUCCAACAACCUCUUGUAAUGAGUUCCAAUUUUCAUAUGCUUGUCUAAUCAAAUUGUGAAUGAAGCCCCUAUUAAUUCUGGGAAGAUCCCUAGUAGAGUAUGUUUGCCUAUUAAUAGUGGCGGCAACAACUUGACAUAUAGGGUUCAAUGUGACACUAAAAUUCUCUCCAUGAAAAACGUAAUGUUUUUUUCCCAGAUCACACGUCUUUGCGUGCUUUAUUGUUGCUUCCCAUAUUUUCUCAGACAUUCCAGGACCUAAAAUCCUCCUAAGCUUUUGUUGGUUGACAAUGAACAAUUUCAAUAAUUCUUGCACCGAGUUAAUGCCUUCAGCAGCUAGCUUUUUGUGGAAAGCUCCAUCUUUCCCAAUCUUCUCAAGACGCCAGACCUCAUCAUCCAACAUUGGUGGGUGAUGCUUCUUGUACAAUUCUCCUCGAUGAUCCUUGACAACAAAAGGUUCAGUCAUUGCUUCACGAAUCCGAGCACCGUGGAAGCUCCCCGGAACCACUCUUGCACCAAGCCUAAAUUUCCUGCUUCUAAUCCAGCUUGAAUUAUCGGUGAACUCAAUCUCUCCGAGUGCUGCAAUUCCAUCUCUUAAAGUGACCGUCAAGCAAUCUCCUGCAAGCAAAGGCCUCUUGCCGGUUCUCUCCUUCAAUAUAUUUUUGUCGAAUUCUUCACUAUUCCAAGUAUUCCGAUCAUCAGAAGGGAAAUCUCCAUCAAGAACGACGAUUUCUAUUUUGAUUGGAGGAGGGGUUGGAACCACUACAUCACCUCUAGUGUCUACUAAAAGGAUUUGAAGGAAAGAGCUAUCUGUAUUAACGAUUUUGCUCCCUGUAAAUAUUGGGAGUGAAAGAUUUUUGCUAAACAUUAGUUGCAGGCUUGAUGGUACUGGCUCAGGUGCCUGGAUUCGCAACGAAGGAGACCGAGUGAAAGGGCGUGAUAAAUGCAUUUUCAGACUGCUCUCCACUUCUUCAUUCACCACUCGCCUGAGCAUUGGCUCCAAGGCCAUACAGAAGUUCUGUAAAGAAUUCACCAUAACCGCUUCUGUAAUUACUGAUGCAAAAGAAGGCCUAGUUCUCUUUCGUUUCUCAAUUAGGUGAUCUGGGUCGGAACCUGAUUCAUCAUGAAAUCGUUUCGCUGCCAUAAUUAGAGCCAAAAGAGAUUCAGAGAGAAGAUGAUGAUGAGAAGUUGCAGUUAGGGAUUGUUGAG